AUGACAGCCUGUUGCACCAGUCACAGGAGUACCAUCUACACGAAGUCCAGUAAGAACGGCCACAUCCUUCAAGAGCACGGCCAUCUCCCCAAACCGCAAGUGGAAGGUCUGUGUUUCACGCCGCCACCUUUCGACCAAAGCAUUCAACAAAGCAUGGUCCAACUGAACCCUCUUCAAGAAACACAGGUGGUAAAAUCCAGCUCGCUGCAAUAUCGCAAGCAUUCCCUCAUGCUUCACCUCCCAUUGGUUAAGUCUUGUGCCAUGUUCGAUAAACCUAAUAGGUUUGUACGCCUGCAUUUUUUAGCCCAAGUGGGCAACAGCAGAAGAGUGUCAAUACCUUACUGGAGCAUCUUUACAGAAAAACAUAAGGAAAACCUCUAA
rnacentral:rRNA from 1 species